UAAAGGAAUGGUGGACAAAGGUUCAGG
rnacentral:piRNA from 2 species